GAGUUUGAUCCUGGCUCAGAUUGAACGCUGGCGGCAGGCCUAACACAUGCAAGUCGAGCGGAAACGAGUUAACUGAACCUUCGGGGAACGUUAACGGCGUCGAGCGGCGGACGGGUGAGUAAUGCCUGGGAAAUUGCCCUGAUGUGGGGGAUAACCAUUGGAAACGAUGGCUAAUACCGCAUAAUAGCUUCGGCUCAAAGAGGGGGACCUUCGGGCCUCUCGCGUCAGGAUAUGCCCAGGUGGGAUUAGCUAGUUGGUGAGGUAAUGGCUCACCAAGGCGACGAUCCCUAGCUGGUCUGAGAGGAUGAUCAGCCACACUGGAACUGAGACACGGUCCAGACUCCUACGGGAGGCAGCAGUGGGGAAUAUUGCACAAUGGGCGCAAGCCUGAUGCAGCCAUGCCCCGUGCAUGAAGAAAGCCUUCAGUUUGUAAAGUACUUUCAGCACUGCG
rnacentral:rRNA from 1 species